rnacentral:rRNA from 1 species
GGACCCGCACAAGUAGUGGAGCAUGUGGUUUAAUUCGAAGAUACGCGCAGAACCUUACCAACACUUGACAUGUUCGUCGCAACUCUAAGAGAUUAGUUUCUUCAGUUCGGCUGGACGAAACACAGGUGCUGCAUGGCUGUCGUCAGCUCGUGUCGUGAGAUGUUGGGUUAAGUCCCGCAACGAGCGCAACCCCCUACUUUUAGUUGCCACCAUUUAGUUGGGCACUUUAAAAGAACUGCCAGUGAUAGCUGGAGGAAGGUGGGGAUGACGUCAAGUCCUCAUGGCCCUUAUGUGUUGGGCUACACACGUGCUACAAUGGCACUUACAAUGGGAUGCGAAGAGGCGACUCUAAGCUAAUCCCUAAAAUGUGUCUCAGUUCGGAUUGUACUCUGUAACUCGAGUGCAUGAAGCUGGAAUUGCUAGUAAUCG